AGACCUUUGAAAUUGUCUCAGUAAACAGACCGGUAGUGUACUCUUCUAUGGAGAUAACACGUAAUGUCUCUUUGGUUACAACUUUGAGCAAGUUGGAUUUGAAGACACGAUGCCAUGGAAUUGGUCCACAAAAACUAGUAUGUUGGUUGGAUUUUUUUUCUACUAUCGGUUGUUGUUUUUUGUUUGGUUGAGCUUUACUUAUAUCAUCUACUGGUGAGUGUCUGUUAUUCCUGUUUUGAGUUUGUACUCUUAGAACUCUGAUGUUUGAAUUAAACAGUGUUAGAAAAAGACUAGAAAGACCAACCCUUCAACUUGGUUAAUGUGUUAUACGUAUAAUAAAGUUGUUUUUUUUGUCAACUUAAUUUCAUUUAAAGAAAGUCCCGUGGGCCACAUUACAUGGUGAACUUAAAAAACUAAUCCCACCCAAUUACAAUUUCAUAAGCCCAAACCCAUGAUAACCGAUUGAUCGGAUAACUAUUAUGUUAUGACUGUCUCCAUGCUCGCCACGUGUCCUGCCAAUCUUCUUUCUGAUAACAUGCGUCUACUGUCAAGGCUUUUGGAGAAUGGGAUCUUCGGUCACGACAGAGACGCUCCUCCGCGAGUUGCUCAUCCACCGUCGCCGGAUUCUUCAAGUCACCAAAGUCCUCCUUCACUUCAACAUGCGCUUUAAUCGAACCAUCAAACAUCUUCAGAUUUUAAACUUGAGAUUAAUCAAAUCAAUUCAUAAGUAGAAUCUUUGUCAGACCGCUCCUUGAACGCCAACUCUUCUUACUCUCUUCUGAACCGUCGAUCUUAAUAUGUCAUCAUCUUUGUUCUUUCCAACCGGAAAGCUUAACCCAUAAGCCUAUCGACUUGCAGAAACGGUAAAGUCUGAUUUCCUAGGAGAGAAUUUGGAAUCAUAUCCUCCGAUGAAAAUAAAACGACUUAAGCUAACUGAAAUUUCAGUGGGCGAUCUUGCAAAAGAGGAACAUGAACAGUAAACGCUUCCGCAAUCCUUACUUGGAUCAGACUAUAAUACAAACAGAAACAACCAGAGAUAUAUACGAGUUAAGCUCAACUCUGGUUUGGUUCAAAUCUACAACACAAAGUCGUCAAACGAAAAGUACAUCGCCUAAUGAAAACAGAGAUCGAUCAAGGACCAAAGUAGUUACAUCAAAAAGAAAAAAAGUAAGAGAUGGUAACCGGCGGCGAAAGCCACCACCGGCCACUGACAUUGAACUUUGGUGAAAGACUCUUCUAGAGAGAGGUUGGAGAAAGCUUUCUAGAGAAAUAAAAUUGCAUAAUAAAGAUUAUUUAUGUAACUUUUCAGUUUACUUCAUGAAAUAUUGAUUAGCUUGAGAUAAUUAGCAGAAAAACGACAAAUAAAAACCCAA
rnacentral:lncRNA from 1 species